GAUUGAGCAAUUAAAGUGUGUACGGUGGAUGCCUUGGCAGUUAGAGGCGAUGAAGGACGUGCUUAUCUGCGAUAAGCGUCGGUGAGCUGAUGAUGAAGCGUUAAUAGCCGGCGAUUUCCUAAUGGGGAAACCUGAUAUAAUAUGAUUAUAUCAUCAUUAAGUAAAUUCAUAGCUUAAUGAAGCAAACCAGAGGAACUGAAACAUCUUAGUACUCUGAGGAAAAGAAAUCAAUUGAGAUUCCCUUAGUAGUGGCGAGCGAAUGGGGAACAGCCCGAGUCUUUUUUUUAAAAAGAUCACAUUAGGAGAAUAAUUUGGAAAAAUUGAUAAUAUAGGGUGAUAGUCCCGUAUCCGAAAAUGUGUGUAUUUUAUAGACUCAAUGAGUAAAACGGGACACGUGGUAUCCUGUUUGAAUAUGGGGGGACCAUCCUCUAAGGCUAAAUACUACUAACUGACCGAUAGUGAACUAGUACCGUGAGGGAAAGGUGAAAAGAACCCCGGAUAGGGGAGUGAAAUAGAACCUGAAACCGUAUACGUACAAGCAGUAGGAGCAUUAAGUUAUAUGUGACUGCGUACCUUUUGUAUAAUGGGUCAGCGACUUAUAUUUUGUAGCGAGGUUAACUGUAUAAGGUAGCCGGAGGGAAACCGAGUCUUAAUUGGGCGUUAAGUUGCAAGAUAUAGACCCGAAACCCGGUGAUCUAACCAUGAACAGGUUGAAGAUUGGGUAAUGCUAAUUGGAGGACCGAACCGACUAAUGUUGAAAAAUUAGCGGAUGAUUUGUGGUUAGGGGUGAAAGGCCAAUCAAACCGGGAGAUAGCUGGUUCUCCUCGAAAGCUAUUUAGGUAGCGCCUCAUGAAUCAUCUUCGGGGGUAAAGCACUGUUUCGGUGAAGGAUCUAUCCCAGGUUACUGAUCCGAUGCAAACUAUGAAUACCGAAGAAUGAAAUUAUGGGAGACACACAGCGGGUGCUAAUAUUCGUUGUGGAAAGGGAAACAACCCAGAUCGCCAGCUAAGGUCCCUAAAUUAUGAUUAAGUGGAAAACGAAGUGGGAAGGCUUAGACAGCCAGGAUGUUGGCUUAGAAGCAGCCAUCAUUUAAAGAAAGCGUAAUAGCUCACUGGUCGAGUCGGCCUGCGCGGAAGAUGUAACGGGGCUUAAAUUAUAUACCGAAGCUGCGACAAUAAAUUUUAUGAAAUUUAUUGGGUAGAGGAGCGUUCUGUAAGUUAUUGAAGGUAUAUUGUGAAAUAUAUUGGAGACAUCAGAAGUGCGAAUGCUGACAUAAGUAACGAUAAAGCAGGUGAAAAACCUGCUCGCCGAAAGACUAAGGGUUCCUGUCCAACGUUAAUCGAGGCAGGGUGAGUCGAUUCCUAAGGUGAGGCUAAAAGCGUAAUUGAUGGGAAACAGGUUAAUAUUCCUGUACUAAAUAUUAAUUUGCGAAGGGGUGACGGAGAAAGCUAGGUUCGCCGAGCGUCGGUAGUCUCGGUUUAAGCGUGAAGGUGGAAAGAAUAGGCAAAUCCGUUCUUUUUUUAACACUGAGGCGUGAUGACGAGUCAUUUAGUUGAUGAAGGAAUUGAUGCUAUGCUUCCAAGAAAAACCUCUAAGUUUUAAAUUAUAUUUAAUCGUACCCUAAACCGACACAGGUAGUUGGGUAGAGAAUACUAAGGCGCUUGAGAGAACUCGGGUGAAGGAACUAGGCAAAAUGGUGCCGUAACUUCGGGAGAAGGCACGCUAACGUGUAGGUGAAAAGAAAGUACUUCUUUUAGCUGAGGUUAGUCGAAGAUACCAGCUGACUGCAACUGUUUAUUAAAAACACAGCACUGUGCAAACACGAAAGUGGAAGUAUACGGUGUGACGCCUGCCCGGUGCCGGAAGGUUAAUUGAUGGGGUUAUUUUUAAUUUUUAAAAAGAAGCUCUUGAUCGAAGCCUCGGUAAACGGCGGCCGUAACUAUAACGGUCCUAAGGUAGCGAAAUUCCUUGUCGGGUAAGUUCCGACCUGCACGAAUGGCGUAAUGAUGGUCAGACUGUCUCCACCUGAGACUCAGUGAAAUUGAAAUCGCCGUGAAGAUGCGGUGUACCCGCGGCAAGACGGAAAGACCCCGUGAACCUUUACUAUAGCUUGAUAUUGAAUUUUGGAUAUUAAUGUGUAGGAUAGGUGGGAGGUUGUGAAGUAAAAAUGCUAGUUUUUAUGGAGCCAUCCUUGAAAUACCACCCUUUAAUAUUUAACAUUCUAACUUUGGUCCGUUAUCCGGAUUGAGGACAGUGUCUGGUGGGUAGUUUGACUGGGGCGGUCUCCUCCCAAAGAGUAACGGAGGAGCACAAAGGUUAGCUAAUCACGGUCAGACAUCGUGAGGUUAGUGCAAAGGUAAAAGCUAGCUUGACUGCGAGAACGACAGUUCGAGCAGGUGCGAAAGCAGGUCUUAGUGAUCCGGUGGUUCCGAAUGGAAGGGCCAUCGCUUAACGGAUAAAAGGUACUCCGGGGAUAACAGGCUAAUACCGCCCAAGAGCUCAUAUCGACGGCGGUGUUUGGCACCUCGAUGUCGGCUCAUCACAUCCUGGGGCUGAAGCAGGUCCCAAGGGUAUGGCUGUUCGCCAUUUAAAGUGGUACGCGAGCUGGGUUUAGAACGUCGUGAGACAGUUCGGUCCCUAUCUGCCGUGGGCGUUGGAAGAUUGAAAGGGGCUGCUCCUAGUACGAGAGGAUCGGAGUGGACAUACCUAUGGUGUUCGGGUUGUCAUGCCAAUGGCAUUGCCCGGUAGCUAUGUAUGGAAAAGAUAACCGCUGAAAGCAUCUAAGUGGGAAACUUGCCUUAAGAUGAAUCUUCCCUGAGAAAUAUAACAUUUCUCCUAAAGGGACGUUAAAGACUAUAACGUUGAUAGGUCGGGUGUGUAAGCACCGUGAGGUGUUGAGCUAACCGAUACUAAUGACCCGUGAGAGCUCAAUCUC
rfam:Blochmannia endosymbiont of Camponotus (Colobopsis) obliquus strain 757, complete genome.